UUUCUUUUUUUUUUUUUUCACACAGAUGCGUCAUAUCGUUUUUUUCUUUUUUUCUUUUUUUCGUCGAGGUCGCAAGCUCAACCGAGAAACGUCGAGAAAGUGUUACGAAGGGCUAGCGAACGUAAAACGAAAUUUUUUUCAAGCAGUCGUUUACACGCGCGAUCUAUCGACUGAGGCUUGCACACAGUAUACAUAUUUACCUCCCACAGGAUGGCUGACUGAGGUGCUCGAUGACAGUUCACGAUACCGGGGGUGUUUGUUUACAUCGCGUACGAAUAUCCUAGACAUAACAGAGCCUGGAAAUGCGAUAAGAGUUUUUGUAUUCUCCUAUCAGUUCGAUGAAACACGUGAUAAAGACAGAUAAUAAUUUCAACUUUAUUUCAUUCAAGAGUUGAAUCGUAACAAAUAUCGAGCUACGACUUGAGAAAUUGAUCGCGAUCCAAAGGUACACGAUUGCGAACGUCGCCGGCCCAAGCGCAAAUACGACGAUUGUCAAGAGAGACACUCGAUCGAACUAUUAGAAUACGUGUUAUCGCGAAACACCUGACUCGUUCCUCGAGAUCGUCGCCAGGGUGGCCCCAAGGAUCUUUCUCGACUGCUUUCGCGAUGCGUUCGAUAGGUUUCGGAUAACGGACACCUAUCGAAGAGUCUCUGUUAUCCGAGAGGAUUAUCGACACAGUGCAUUGAUAUUACAUCGUAUUCUACGUACCAAUAUUCGCUCGAAGCUUAAAAAUAACUGUGUAAUUUGGCCACCGAUUUGAUCUUUGCGAUUAGAAUAAAAAAACAGCGUGCUCGCCGAUAAAUGGAAAAUGAUUCAUUUAAAAGUAAUUAAUAAAACGAAAUUAUUUAAGAUUAAAUUAAAACGUCUUAUUCGUUGAACGCAGUGAUGAUACGAUUAAAUGGAAUGUCUGAUGAAAGGAGGAGUACAAAGUAAUUGACGAUGUACAAAACGUUGAUGUAUUGUAAUUCACAUUAUAUUCAAAACUUGUCAACUUUUAUAAUCGUACGUAUCAAAUGUUCUAUUAAAACGAAGCGUGUCUAUUUUUCACAAAUAAGCAGGUUACAUGAUAAUUCUACUAUUCCAAAUUAUAAAUAAAUCCGUGAAAAUUAUACGCAUCACGCAUCUACUUGUGCUCACAUAUAAAAUAUACAUUUUUUUUCUGUAUACACUCGCGUACAGAAUUUUAAAAUUGUUUUUAUAAUAUACAAUCUAUUCGAAUGAGUAAUAUCAUGGUAAAAAGAUGUCAUGAAAAGUUUCUCGCACUCAAUAUGAUUUCAAUUUUAUACCAAACCAAUUCAUUUAUCAAAAUUUCAAUUUUUUUUUUUUUAAUUUUACUCAUCUUUGAAAAUUUAAUUUGAAAAAUGAAACAGGAAUCGUAUAUACAAUUUAGCGACAAUAAAUUAGAUUUAUGCCUAUAUAUAACAACAUCAAACAUUUUAUAAAUUAAUAUGAAUUAGCAUAUAGAAAUAUACAACACUGGUGUUUCUUCUUUGUAUAUAAAUUUAUCGGAAAAUAAUGUCAAAUCUUUUGUCGCCUCCAUUAUGGUAAUAAUAUAAAAACAUAGAAUAUAAAAUUUUUCAAAAAAUGUACACAACUAUACAAAAUUGA